rnacentral:rRNA from 1 species
AGAGUUUGAUCCUGGCUCAGGAUGAACGCUGGCGGCGUGCCUAAUACAUGCAAGUCGAGCGAACGGACGAGAAGCUUGCUUCUCUGAUGUUAGCGGCGGACGGGUGAGUAACACGUGGAUAACCUACCUAUAAGACUGGGAUAACUUCGGGAAACCGUAGCUAAUACCGGAUAAUAUUUUGAACCGCAUGGUUCAAAAGUGAAAGACGGUCUUGCUGUCACUUAUAGAUGGAUCCGCGCUGCAUUAGCUAGUUGGUAAGGUAACGGCUUACCAAGGCAACGAUGCAUAGCCGACCUGAGAGGGUGAUCGGCCACACUGGAACUGAGACACGGUCCAGACUCCUACGGGAGGCAGCAGUAGGGAAUCUUCCGCAAUGGGCGAAAGCCUGACGGAGCAACGCCGCGUGAGUGAUGAAGGUCUUCGGAUCGUAAAACUCUGUUAUUAGGGAAGAACAUAUGUGUAAGUAACUGUGCACAUCUUGACGGUACCUAAUCAGAAAGCCACGGCUAACUACGUGCCAGCAGCCGCGGUAAUACGUAGGUGGCAAGCGUUAUCCGGAAUUAUUGGGCGUAAAGCGCGCGUAGGCGGUUUUUUAAGUCUGAUGUGAAAGCCCACGGCUCAACCGUGGAGGGUCAUUGGAAACUGGAAAACUUGAGUGCAGAAGAGGAAAGUGGAAUUCCAUGUGUAGCGGUGAAAUGCGCAGAGAUAUGGAGGAACACCAGUGGCGAAGGCGACUUUCUGGUCUGUAACUGACGCUGAUGUGCGAAAGCGUGGGGAUCAAACAGGAUUAGAUACCCUGGUAGUCCACGCCGUAAACGAUGAGUGCUAAGUGUUAGGGGGUUUCCGCCCCUUAGUGCUGCAGCUAACGCAUUAAGCACUCCGCCUGGGGAGUACGACCGCAAGGUUGAAACUCAAAGGAAUUGACGGGGACCCGCACAAGCGGUGGAGCAUGUGGUUUAAUUCGAAGCAACGCGAAGAACCUUACCAAAUCUUGACAUCCUUUGACAACUCUAGAGAUAGAGCCUUCCCCUUCGGGGGACAAAGUGACAGGUGGUGCAUGGUUGUCGUCAGCUCGUGUCGUGAGAUGUUGGGUUAAGUCCCGCAACGAGCGCAACCCUUAAGCUUAGUUGCCAUCAUUAAGUUGGGCACUCUAAGUUGACUGCCGGUGACAAACCGGAGGAAGGUGGGGAUGACGUCAAAUCAUCAUGCCCCUUAUGAUUUGGGCUACACACGUGCUACAAUGGACAAUACAAAGGGCAGCGAAACCG